CAGGCAGUGGAGGUGCUGGGAGUGCUGGCGGUAGUGAUGGAGAGGUGGUUCCAGCUGGUGACGCGCUGGAUGAGUCAUCCCCCAUUCUGAAGGGUCACAAGUCACGGGAUAGCAGGCAGGUGGUGGGAAGGUGGGCGCCAUGCACCCAGGAAACGGCGGGGUCCCCUAUGGCCAGUGGGCAUCAACAGGCUUCUCCCAGCAGGUCAGUGGAGCGGAAUUUGUCCAUGGGGUCGCCUCGCAGGUCAGCGUCCAGAUCACCUAACAUGGGUAGAGGCGGCCCAAGGAGAGAGCCCAGGGAGGUGGACCUGAGUUGGGCAAUGAGAAGGCAGGCUUCCACACCCCAUAGAUCCCACUCACAGGUGGGCACGGAGCGCCGACCUCAGGAAUAUCACGUCUGGCCCCCCAGGGGUGCUGGGCAGCAAGGGG